AGAAGACAAAAAUCUAUCACUUGCAUUCUAGACAAUUCAAGAAAGAAAUAAGAGAGCAAGAAGGCCAUGGUUUCGGCCAUGACCAUGGAAAUCCAAAUCUUCAAUUUUAAUUCCAAAAAUUAUUUUCUUCAUGUAUUCCUACUAAUUCAAGGGCCCUCUACAUCGUGGUGUAAUUGUUUCGGAAGAUAGGUCAUCCGUUUCAUUGUUUUCCGCACUUUGGUUGAGUAAAGAAGUUGGGAGGAAAAGAUUAACAAGUUGGAGGCACAAGCGUAACUAGUUGGUCACGGCGCAGGUACUCCCAGAUGAGUUGAAGAUAUUAUAGAAGAUGUUCCAGCGAAGAUAGCAAACUCCAUUUGCUCCUGGAGUGUUGCCGAGUCAGAGUAUGUGUGCUGUGAUGUCUGAUAUAUGGUAGAGACUUUGCAGACAGCGUCGUGGGUAUGGUGUGUCAGUCUGUAAGCGGCUCCGUCAGCCGAUAUGUUGGUCUGUGUUGUGUAUUGAAUUGUGUAUGACUACAGAUUUGUUUGCUUGGAAGAUUCGAGAAGGAAUAUUUCUGAAAAGAAUAUUUCAAAAAAAAAUAAAUAAAAAAAAAUAAAUAAAUAAAAUAUUUUACUGCGUAUUUUGCCUGAUUUGAUUUAAAAAGUCCGACGUAAUUUUAUGUGCGGCAAGAGUCUGAGGGUUCGCUCGGCCCUAAGUAAGGGUCGGGUGCCCAUCACACCCUAGUAAGGUCGGGGUGUGACAUGGACACCCAUAUUAUUUUUAAUUAUAAGGAAUAUAAAAGGAUCACUAUCUAUCUAUAAUUGCCAUGUUGGUAGGAU